AUUUAAGCAUAUCAAUAAGCGGAGGAAAAGAAACCAACAGGGAUUGCCCCAGUAACGGCGAGUGAAGCGGCAACAGCUCAAAUUUGAAAUCUGGCCCCAGGCCCGAGUUGUAAUUUGCAGAGGAUGCUUUUGGCGCGGUGCCUUCCGAGUUCCCUGGAACGGGACGCCAUAGAGGGUGAGAGCCCCGUACGGUUGGACACCAAGCCUUUGUAAAGCUCCUUCGACGAGUCGAGUAGUUUGGGAAUGCUGCUCUAAAUGGGAGGUACAUUUCUUCUAAAGCUAAAUAUUGGCCAGAGACCGAUAGCGCACAAGUAGAGUGAUCGAAAGAUGAAAAGCACUUUGAAAAGAGGGUUAAACAGCACGUGAAAUUGUUAAAAGGGAAGCGCUUGUGACCAGACUUGCGUCCGGUGAAUCACCCAGCUCUCGCGGCUGGGGCACUUCGCCGGCACAGGCCAGCAUCAGCUUGCCGUCGGGGACAAAAGCUUCAGGAACGUGGCUCCUCUCGGGGAGUGUUAUAGCCUGUUGCAUAAUACCCUUCGGCGGGCUGAGGUACGCGCUCCGCAAGGAUGCUGGCGUAAUGGUCAUCAGCGACCCGUCUUGAAAACACGNAAAU
rnacentral:rRNA from 1 species